UGAACGCUGGCGGCAGGCCUAACACAUGCAAGUCGAGCGGAUGAAGGGAGCUUGCUCCUGGAUUCAGCGGCGGACGGGUGAGUAAUGCCUAGGAAUCUGCCUGGUAGUGGGGGAUAACGUCCGGAAACGGGCGCUAAUACCGCAUACGUCCUGAGGGAGAAAGUGGGGGAUCUUCGGACCUCACGCUAUCAGAUGAGCCUAGGUCGGAUAGCUAGUUGGUGGGGUAAAGGCCUACCAAGGCGACGAUCCGUAACUGGUCUGAGAGGAUGAUCAGUCACACUGGAACUGAGACACGGUCCAGACUCCUACGGGAGGCAGCAGUGGGGAAUAUUGGACAAUGGGCGAAAGCCUGAUCCAGCCAUGCCGCGUGUGUGAAGAAGGUCUUCGGAUUGUAAAGCACUUUAAGUUGGGAGGAAGGGCAGUAAGUUAAUACCUUGCUGUUUUGACGUUACCAACAGAAUAAGCACCGGCUAACUUCGUG
rnacentral:rRNA from 1 species